rnacentral:rRNA from 1 species
GUGGAUUCUCAAGCGUGAGGUAAGAGCAUUUGGUGGAUGCCUAGGCAUGUACAGGCGAUGAAGGACGUGGCACGCUGCGAUAAGCGUCGGGGAGUUGUGAGCAAACUUUGAUCCGGCGAUUUCCGAAUGGGGAAACCCACCUUCACCAUUUCUCUCGUUGUUCGAGCAAUCGGAUAAUGAGCGAGGUGGAUAGGGUAUCACCUUAGUGAAUAUAUAGCUUUGGUGAAGCGAACCCGGAGAACUGAAACAUCUCAGUACCCGGAGGAAAAGACAUCAACCGAGAUUCCGUUAGUAGUGGCGAGCGAACGCGGACCAGGCCAGUGCUUCUCAUUCAAUUAACAGAACACUUUGGAAAGAGUGGCCAUAGCGGGUGACAGCCCCGUAUGUGAAAAUGAUGUGAGAAGACUCGAGUAGGGCGGGACACGUGAAAUCCUGUCUGAACAUGGGGGGACCACCCUCCAAGCCUAAAUACUCGUACAUGACCGAUAGUGAACUAGUACCGUGAGGGAAAGGUGAAAAGCACCCCGAUUAGGGGAGUGAAACAGUACCUGAAACCGAAUGCUUACAAGCAGUUGGAGCCUCUUUAGGGGGUGACAGCGUACCUCUUGCAUAAUGGGUCAGUGACUUAAUCUACCAUGCAAGCUUAAGCCGAUAGGUGUAGGCGCAGCGAAAGCGAGUCUGAAUAGGGCGACAGAGUAUGUUGGAUUAGACCCGAAACCCGGCGAUCUAUGCAUGACCAGGAUGAAGGUGCGGUAACACGCACUGGAGGUCCGAACCGUUUAAUGUUGAAAAAUUAUCGGAUGAGUUGUGCUUAGGGGUGAAAGGCCAAUCAAGCCGGGAAAUAGCUGGUUCUCCGCGAAAUCUAUUGAGGUAGAGCGUCGGAUGUAUGCCGUUGGGGGUAGAGCACUGGAUGGGCUAGGGGGUCGCGAGAUCUACCAAACCUAACCAAACUCCGAAUACCAACGAGUCUUAUCCGGCAGACAGACGGCGGGUGCUAAGGUCCGUCGUCAAAAGGGAAACAGCCCUAACCUACAGCUAAGGUCCCCAAGUCAUCACUAAGUGGGAAAGCAUGUGGGAAUCCCAAAACAACCAGGAGGUUGGCUUAGAAGCAGCCAUCCUUUAAAGAAAGCGUAACAGCUCACUGGUCUAAAUAAGGGUUCCUGCGGCGAAAAUGUAUCGGGGCUAAAGUGAUGCACCGAAGCUUAGGGUUCAGAAUUUAUUCUGAGCGGUAGCGGAGCGUUCCGUAAGCGAGUGAAGCUCAAGGGUAACCGAGGGUGGACGUAUCGGAAGUGCGAAUGCUGACAUGAGUAGCGAUAAAGAGGGUGAGAUGCCCUCUCGCCGAAAGACCAAGGGUUCCUACGCAAUGCUAAUCAGCGUAGGGUGAGCCGGCCCCUAAGACGAGCCCGAAGGGGGUAGUCGAUGGGAACCACGUUAAUAUUCGUGGGCCUGAAGAUGUGUGACGGAUUGUGGAAGUUGUUCGAUCUUAACGGAUUGAUCGGGCAGCCAAAUAGUCCCAGGAAAUAGCCUCUUCAUAUAGACCGUACCCGAAACCGACACAGGUGGUCAGGUAGAGUAUACCAAGGCGCUUGAGAGAAGUAUCCUGAAGGAACUCGGCAAAUUGCCUCCGUACCUUCGGAAGAAGGAGGCCCUGUCUUAAGGCAACUUUUGGCAGGGGGCACAGGCCAGGGGGUAGCGACUGUUUAUCAAAAACACAGGACUCUGCUAAGUCGGCUUCAAGACGACGUAUAGGGUCUGACGCCUGCCCGGUGCUGGAAGGUUAAGAGGAGGAGUGCAAGCUCCGAAUUGAAGCCCCAGUAAACGGCGGCCGUAACUAUAACGGUCCUAAGGUAGCGAAAUUCCUUGUCGGG